rnacentral:scRNA from 1 species
AGGGCCUCGGCCAGUCCCGGCCCCCAGCGGAGCAAGAGCAAGCAGCGUACCAGGCAGCCCCACCCUGACCUAAAGUAAAAUCUCAGGAGAAGUCUUACCUGGGUUUUGAAUUUGCAGUAACAGGUGUGAGCAUUCUAGCAGCAGUUUGAUGAUCAUCUAUGACACUGCAAACAGGA